rnacentral:tRNA from 1 species
AGGUUUAUAAUUCAGUGGCAGAAUAUACGUCUGAUAAGCGUAAAGUCAAUGGUUCAAUCCCAUUUAAACCUA